rnacentral:ncRNA from 1 species
CAAAAGGUGUUGGUUGCUCUAGACAGCAGGACGGUGGCCAUGGAAGUUGGAAUCCGCUAAGGAGUGUGUAACAACUCACCUGCCGAAGCAACUAGCCCUGAAAAUGGAUGGCGCUCAAGCGUCGCACCUAUACCGUGCCGUCGGAGCAGAUGCGAAGCUCCGACGAGUAGGAGGGCGUGGGGGUUGUGACGCAGCCUCUGGCGCGAGCCUGGGUGAAACGGCCUCCAGUGCAGAUCUUGGUGGUAGUAGCAAAUAUUCAAAUGAGAGCUUUGAAGACCGAAGUGGAGAAAGGUUCCAUGUGAACAGCAGUUGGACAUGGGUUAGUCGAUCCUAAGAGAUAGGGAAAUUCCGUUUGCAAGCGCCCGAUCUUGGGCCACCUAUCGAAAGGGAAUCGGGUUAAUAUUCCCGAACCGGGACGCGGAUAUUGCCGUUCGCGGCAAAUGCGGUAACGCAAACGAACCCGAAGACGCUGGCGGGGGCCCUGGGAAGAGUUCUCUUUUCUUUUUAACGAGCUUUCACCCUGAAAUCAGCUCGCCUGGAGAUAGGGUUUAAUGCUCGGUAAAGCACCACACUUCUUGUGGUGUCCGGUGCGCUCUCGACGGCCCUGAAAAUUCG